GGUUAUCUCAGCUGCUGCUUCUCAUGCUCCUGAGUUAAUCAGCUGAGACUUGGUCAAGCACUGGACCGUGGUAGUUGCACUGAAGAAAGAGGAGUUCCUUCCUGGAAAGUGAUUGGCAGAUUUUACAACAAAGGAAAAACAAUCCUGAAGAUUGUUCCUUCUUUGUGUUUCAGAGACCUUCUUUCUUUGACAGAGAAUAUAAGGAAUCAAGUGAGAAGAUACACAAAGGAAACUGAGAGGAAGCACAGCUGGGACAGGUGAUCUGUACUCCACAUCACAGAAUGUCAUACCCAUUAGAUAAACUGGGCUGAGUUACCCAGGAGGGAGGACUGAUCUGAGUUUGGGAAGAGGGGCCUGGCAUUGGU